UGUCCAAUGCGGGAAUCGAACCCGGGUCCUAGUGGUCGAAAACCAAACGGUUUAAAUUGAGUUAAUUAAAC